ensembl:lncRNA
CUUUCAAGAAGGUAAUAAAAUAUAUUAACUCUCUUGAGUAAGUGGUUGGGAGGGAUUUAUAAGCAUUUGAGGAUCCGGUGAUCCACUGGAAGCACAGUUUACUCAAUUUUGAAUUUUUCUGAUCAACUUUCAACCCUGAGAAAACGAGAGCCAUUUGCCUAACUUAAUCUGGAACGUAUGUUUGCACCAGUAGCAGGUUUUUUGGUUUGUGGUUGGGGCUGAUCAAGUUGUAAAUUUUCCGCUUUAGGUUUUCAGCGCCUGCUAGUUUCAGCCUAACACCUAGAGAGAGGCUUUGCGGGGCUCUCCACCAAAGCAGCCAUGGUUUGACAAAAGGUUUCCAAACCACCCAGCUCUGAGUGUUACCGAUUUUCCUGAAGAUGGGACAUUUCUAUACAAAUUAGUUCUCUGAAUCCAAAAGACAAGUAACAAGUUACAUUCUCUUUUGUCAAAAUGUUUGUAAAAUACCUACAUGGAGGGUCCCCCCCAUUUGCCUUCCUCACCUGCAACCUUUUUCUUUGAGGGACACACACUUUGAGAGCAGUGAGUGCUGUGGAAGUGACAUCUUCAUUCGACAAAACAAUAUACAGGUCCUUUUGGCUCAUCUUAAUUUUUUUCCCAUCAGAAACAGAACUGUUGGUAUUCUGUCUCUUUGUGCUUCCACACAAAGGAUUUUUUUAUAAGUGUUCUGAAUAUCUGAGAAGAAUCACCUCGUGAUUAAAAUAAAUAUACAUUUAGAAUCCACAAAUCACCCUUCACAAGCUUUAUGGUAGCUUUUAUGACUAAUACUGAAACACAUUCCUUUAUGGACCUGAAAUUUAGUAUUUAGUCUUUAAACAAAUGAUAAUACUUUAAAAUCAAUGCAUGGUAUACCAUAAUGAUAAAUCAAAGCAGUAAGUUUCCUAAGACUAGCUUGACUCAUCUUGAAAUGGAAAUAGGUAUUAGUGGUGGGAGCGGGAGGUUAACUCUUGGUGGUAAACCUCAAGGGCUAUAACUAAGUGUCUGGACCUGCUGAUUUAUCUUCUUCCUGAAAACCUCAAUCAGAUUACUGGAGGAAAAGUUACCCAAGUGCUUUUUGAAACGCAUCAGAACUGGUAAUUGAGCCAUAAAUGUGCCCUACAUUCAGGUGCAGAGUUGCACUAAAUUUUAUUAUUAUACAGGUGAAGGUGGGCAGCUCCCAUCUGGGCGCUACCUUAAUCAAACAGUGAACAAGGGUGAAGAAACAAGGGCAGUAAGAGCAUUACCAGCACUGUGCGAAUCAAAUGCCCACAACUAGUUGAGAACAACGGUGCUAAAAAGCUGCUUUAAUUCUGAAACGCAAAGUCCUGAGACACCGAGCGCCAUCUAGCAAGCAAAGUUAGAAUCAAAGUCAAGCACAGAGCACAGAGCAGCUAGGGAAUUGGGAGGUAAAGGGGGGCUUGAGAGGCACUCGCUGCGACUUAACCACUGGCCCUGUCUCACCUGAACCCAGCGUUGCUCGCGGGGUUUCUGCUCUUCGCCCCACCAGCCAGCUCAAACAGACUUAACUCCUGAGAUGGGGACAAAGAUCAGUGCCUGAAAGGCUCACCUUGGGCUGACACGACUCCCAGGGCUUCGGCGCAGAGGAAAGCACAUCGCUGGGAAAUCCUAGCAGGAUUUGAGAAGUCAUUCUGAGUUUACAAGGCUGCCUAGACGUCUCCUGACAGGCGAUUCGAGCCAUCUCUGAGUGGCAUGAGACACAGAUUUCCUUAACAAGGCUCGGCUGGUCAUGGAAACUGGAUGCUGCCUUCAAAAUAUAAAUAAUAUAACUUUAUUCUUCUCCAGGCAACCAGGUCUUUGAUAUCGCCUUUGGCUGAAGCAAAGUCCAAAGGUGGCCAGCAUGCUGCCAAAUAGCCCUGUUAGAUUGUAGCUUGAGGGAGGGAAACAGCACUUUCUCCAUCUUUAAGGGUUUGAAUGAUGUUACCUAAUUAUAUGAAUAUUCUGUGGAACUGAGCUAACAAAACACAGCUUCUGAGAUUUGUGAUGUGAAGAAAAUCAAGAAAAAACCACUGGUUUCUGGAUAGGCAAAAAUGCCAUAUUUUUCCUUUAAACUAAGUCGGUCUGAAUUCAGAAGACUAAGGGGUUCAUCUCAUGUCUGCUUUCUAAAGUACUUCUGUUGGUUCUUCCCGGAAUUUCAUUUACAGUUUGGUGGUGGGGGAAAUCCAUGUAGAUACAUGUUAGCCUUAAACUACUCCUAAUUUCCUGCUACUGAAUAUUGUCUUUAUAAUAACUCAUUGAUUCAGAGAAUACAGAAGGCAGAGCUUGGGUUUUCUAUUGUUCUGUCCCCUGCCCCCACCCCACACAUACAAAUUUUCCCAGUGAAGUGUUUUGUAAAAAAAAAAAACCUAACCAACCAACCAAACAAAAACCUUAGGAAAUGAAUAUUAAAAUAUUCCAAAUGAGUUUUAAAUGCUACCCCAAUCUGAGGUUUGCUUCUCAGUGAAAAAAGGCAUGGCAUAAUAGAUAUGAAAUAGCAAUUCUCUAUUUUCUGCUAAUCUAUUUACUGUGCAAAACAACCACAUUGAGAAUCAAGGAACUGCUAGAUAAGAAUAUACUCAAAAUGUUCAUUAAAACAUCUCCACAGGUUAUAGUAUUUACAGGGGAAAAAAAAUCCCCUAAAAUCAUAACCCACUUAACAAACCCAAGCCAGUAAGGAGCUUAAGCGACAGUUUACAAAACAUCUAAAACGUUUCUAUGAAACCUCCUUGUCUUCUUAUGCCUCAAAACACAUGUAAAGAUCUGAAGAUGGAAAAUGUAGGUACAAUUCACACUGCCUCCUCUUCCCCUUUUCCUCUCUGAAGUUCAGAGAAGUUCCCAGGUCAGUCUUGCCUCAGAUCACAAUAAAAAUUUAACUUUUUUUUUGUUAUUGGUGUCUAGUUAAAUAGCACAUUUCUCCCAUCAAGGUCUUCUUAAACACGGAAGCUUC